AUUGAACGCUGGCGGCAUGCUUUACACAUGCAAGUCGAACGGUAACAGCACUUCGGUGGCUGACGAGUGGCGCACGGGUGAGUAAUACAUCGGAACGUGCCUAGUAGUGGGGGAUAACUACUCGAAAGAGUAGCUAAUACCGCAUGAGAUCUAAGGAUGAAAGCAGGGGACCUUCGGGCCUUGCGCUACUAGAGCGGCUGAUGGCAGAUUAGGUAGUUGGUGGGAUAAAAGCUUACCAAGCCGACGAUCUGUAGCUGGUCUGAGAGGACGACCAGCCACACUGGGACUGAGACACGGCCCAGACUCCUACGGGAGGCAGCAGUGGGGAAUUUUGGACAAAGGGCGCAAGCCUGAUCCAGCAAUGCCGCGUGCAGGAUGAAGGCCUUCGGGUUGUAAACUGCUUUUGUACGGAACGAAAAGCCCUCUUCUAAUACAGGAGGGUCAUGACGGUACCGUAAGAAUAAGCACCGGCUAACUACGUG
rnacentral:rRNA from 1 species